GCUAGCAAUUGCUCGAAUAAAGAAUAUAGUUCAUUAAAAAAUCAUACAUGUGAUGAUAAUAAGGAAGUUAUGUUUAUAGUUCAUGUGACAUGUAAAUUGAAGCAACUUGUGAAGGCUAAUAUCAGUGAGAACUUUAAUGGUUACUUAGAAGCGUAUUCACAUCAUGCAUUAGAGAUGCUGAAGGGAUGCAAAUGUGAUGAGGAGAAAGAAAAAAAAGUAGAAAGAAAGAUAGGAAGAAUCCAUUUUACUAGUGAAGUCUCUCCCACCAAGAGUACAGUGAAUGGAACAGAGAAAAAGACAGGAGGGCCCUGCUUCAAGAUCCUGGGAGAAAAAUCUUCCAAGGAAAGAAAAAAACAGAAUAAAUGUUUAUGCUUAAUACAAAAAAUGAUAUCCGAUGUUAGCAAUUGCUGGAGGAAAAUUUUGAACAUGAACGCCAAUGGGCACUGACACAACUGUGAUGGCAGAGAAGCCCCAUGAUUUGAACACCUUUCACUUGCAUUCACCAAGUGUUCAUCUGCUCACACUGAUCUAUCUCCAUGCCAGAAGCUGCUGUAUUUAUCCUGGCAAAGCUAUGGCACCAUGAGCAAGGGACCGUGAAUUCUACUCUACUCCACUGCAGACACCAGUAGACAGAGAAGCAAACCAAUGAAACAGAAAAUGAUAAUUCACAAUAAAAGCUACUUGAUAACGACCUGGACA
ensembl:lncRNA